UCACAGAGAGGAGCACGUUGGAGCUCACGCUGCUAUGAUGUCACAGAUAUGGUAACACUGGCUCUGAUAUGCCUUGGCAAUGGAAAGCUCUGAGCUCCGCGAUUUCUCUAGUGAAGUAGCCUUGGAAAGGGCUGGGCCAAAGCUCGUGUGUGCGACUUUGGUGAAGGGAGCCAGCAAGAGGAGGGAGGCAACCUAUCUUUUGGGUCCUUAGCUCCCCAAAAGGUCCUCAAGCCACUGGGGCUUCUCUUCAGUCUGGAGUUCCUGGACCACGUGUUGGAGUCUUAGGAUGCGGGUGUGGAUGCUUUCACUGGGGCUGGAGUGGUCAAAGCAGCACAGUCAGUUAAUUUUCUCGCAGCCGUGUCCAUGGGCCAGGAGCAAAAGGUCUAGAGGGUUGGUGGCACUGCCCAUGGACAAGCACACGUGGUCUUGUUUGAGAGUCUUUGCGAGGGUGAUCCACACGUUCUCCUGGGGCUGUGCUACUAGCCAGGCCUCCACAGCUGAUGUUUUCAGGAGUAUGCAGAUAAUCAGG